ACUAAAUCUUUGGCUGAGCCAUUUAAAAUCAAUGAGUUCCUUGGUACCUGGUAUGAAAUUGAACGAACCAAUUUGAUCUUUGAAAAAGGUCAACGAUGUGUCCAAGCUAAUUACAAACUUGACCAAUCAACUGAUAAUGUGAUUGUAAACAACAGUGGAAUCAAUAAUCAAGAUAAAUCAGUUUUCAAUGUUGGUGCUGGAAAACCAACUGACAAGGACAAUGUUUUGGCUGUCAAGUUUUUCCCUCUUUCUCCAGCAGCUCGA